AGGGGUGAUCGGGCCACAUUUGGGACUGAGACACGGGCCCAAACUCCUACGGGAGGCAGCAGUAGGGAAUCUUCGGCAAUGGACGAAAGUCUGACCGAGCAACGCCGCGUGAGUGAAGAAGGUUUUCGGAUCGUAAAACUCUGUUGUUAGAGAAGAACAAGGAUGAGAGUAACUGUUCAUCCCUUGACGGUAUCUAACCAGAAAGCCACGGCUAACUACGUGCCAGCAGCCGCGGUAAUACGUAGGUGGCAAGCGUUGUCCGGAUUUAUUGGGCGUAAAGCGAGCGCAGGCGGUUUCUUAAGUCUGAUGUGAAAGCCCCCGGCUCAACCGGGGAGGGUCAUUGGAAACUGGGAGACUUGAGUGCAGAAGAGGAGAGUGGAAUUCCAUGUGUAGCGGUGAAAUGCGUAGAUAUAUGGAGGAACACCAGUGGCGAAGGCGGCUCUCUGGUCUGUAACUGACGCUGAGGCUCGAAAGCGUGGGGAGCAAACAGGAUUAGAUACCCUGGUAGUCCACGCCGUAAACGAUGAGUGCUAAGUGUUGGAGGGUUUCCGCCCUUCAGUGCUGCAGCUAACGCAUUAAGCACUCCGCCUGGGGAGUACGACCGCAAGGU
rnacentral:rRNA from 1 species